AGAAAUUCUGCCCGAUAAUCGAAAGGCGAUGCCUGUGGAGGAGGCUAGAUCUCUUCAAACUCCCAUGUAUUAUGAUCUCUUUAAACUCCCAUGUAUUAUGAUCUCUUCAAACUUCCAUGUAUUAUAAUCUCUUCAAACUCCCAUGUAUUAUGAUCUCUUCAAACUCCCAUGUAUUUUGAUCUCUUCAAACUCCCAUGUAUUAUGAUCUCUUUAAACUCCCAUGUAUUAUGAUCUCUUCAAACUCCCAUGUAUUAUGAUCUCUUCAAACUCCCAUGUAUUUUGAUCUCUUCAAAUUCCCAUGUAUUAUGAUCUCUUCAAACUCCCAUGUAUUAUGAUCUCUUCAAACUCCCAUGUAUUAUGAUCUCUUCAAACUUCCAUGUAUUAUAAUCUCUUCAAACUCCCAUGUAUUAUGAUCUCUUCAAACUCCCAUGUAUUUUGAUCUCUUCAAACUCCCAUGUAUUAUGAUCUCUUUAAACUCCCAUGUAUUAUGAUCUCUUCAAACUUCCAUGUAUUAUGAUCUCUUCAAACUCCCAUGUAUUAUAAUCUCUUCAAACUCCCAUGUAUUAUGAUCUCUUCAAACUUCCAUGUGUUAUGAUCUCUUCAAACUCCCAUGUAUUAUCUCUUCAAACUCCCAUGUAUUAUGAUCUCUUCAAACUCCCAUGUAUUAUGAUCUCUUCAAACUCCCAUGUAUUUUGAUCUCUUCAAACUCCCAUGUAUUAUGAUCUCUUCAAACUCCC